CUUCUAUAAAGUGCUUCCUUUAUGAGGGGCCACAUAGGGCUAGGGAAUGCCCUAAGAAGAAUAAACUUUUAGCCCUUCUUGAGGAGAAAGUAGGAGGCCAGCAAAAACAAGCUACCAUGGGUUCCCUGUUCUUGGACGCUGCUAAACAAGAGUCGCCUAAGGAAGUAAAGAAGGGUCAAUUGUUCGUGCAAAUGAAGCUUGGCAGGCAUGAUGUAAAAGCUCUCUUUGAUACGAGUGCAAUUAAUAAUUUUCUGAAGUUAAUAAUUUCCUUGGGGAUCCAAUAUGAGAAGACUCUUGGGUGGUUGAAGGCAGCCAAUUCCAAGCCCUACAUGAUGUAUGGCGUUGCAAAGGAUGUCCGCGUUCAAAUAGGUGAGUGGCAUGGAAUCCUUAACUUUUCAAUUGUGCCCAUGGAUGAUUAUAAUAUUGUUAUUGGCAUGGAAUUUAUGGAUAAAGUUAAAGCUAUCCCUAUUCCUUUAGCCAACUCUAUAUGUAUUUUGGAGAAUGAGAUUUCUUGUUCUGUUCCUUUGUCAAGGAUUGCACCUAGCCAUGGUGCCACACUGUCUGCCAUGCAACUUAUUAAAGGCGUGAAGAGAUAUGAGCCCACUUACUUGGUGGCAGUAAAGGAGGAAGGGGAUGUCCAAGCCGAAGCCAUACCUGAUUCUGUUAUUAAUGUACUUGAUGAGUUCAAGGACGUGAUGCCAUCCGAGCUGCCGAAUAAGCUUCCCACAAUGAGAGAGGUGGAUCACAAGAUUGAUUGGAGCCUAAUGCAAAGCCACCUCACGGAGUCCCCUAUAGGAUGGCCCCUUCUGAGCUGGAUGAGUUGAAGAGGCAACUCAAGGAGCUACUUGAAGUUGGUUUUAUCAAACCGUCCAAAGUUCCAUAUGGUGCACUUGUUCUAUUCAAGAAAAAGAAAGACGAUUCGCUCAGAAUGUGCAUUGACUAUUGAGCUCUCAAUAAGGUGACUGUGAAAAAUAAAUACCCCAUUCCCCUAAUAGCUGAUCUAUUUGACCAGUUGGGCGAAGCUAGAUGGUUUUCAAAGCUGGAUUUGAUGUUGGGAUAUUACCAAGUGAGGAAUGCCAAGGGGAUGAGCCAAAGAUUGCAUGUAUAACGAGGUAUGGGUCAUUUGAAUUCCUUAUUAUGCCAUUUGGUCUCACAAAUGCACCAGCCACAUUCUGCACACUUUGAUGAAUAAAAUAUUUCAGCCCUUUCUUGAUAAAUUUGUGGUAGUAUAUUUGAAUGAUUUCGUGGUGCAGAUGCAUUGAGCCAUGAAGCAGAUUUAGCAGCCGCUAGCCAACCUAAUUUCCCCGUGGAGGAUCGUAUUCGACAAGGGAUGGAGCAUGAUCCGCAAGCUAGGGACUUGUUAAAGCUUGCAAGGGAUGGCCAAUUACAGAGAUUCAGUGCUGAUGGGGACUUGGUGCGCACCAAGACAGGGUGCCUAUUCGUGCCACAGUAGGGGAGUUUGAGGAAGUAGAUCAUUUGGGAAUGCCAUGAUUUGCUUUGGGUUGGCCAUCCAGGGGUCAACCACACAUUAGCCUUAGUUGAACGGGCUUACUAUUGGCCGAGAAUGAAAGACGAUGUGGAGCAAUAUGUGCGAACUUGUCUUGUUUGCCAGCAGGAUAAGAUUGAGCACAGAAGGCCCGCUGGAUUGUUGGAGCCACUGCCCAUUCCCGACAGACCUUGGGAGAGCAUUUCUGUGGAUUUCAUAGUUGGUUUGCUGAAGGUUGAUGGAUGUGGCGUCAUGGUUGUGGUGGACCGAUUCAGUAAGUAUGGGGUCUUCAUUCCAACACCUACAGCCCUCAAUGCUAAAGAUGCAGCCAGACUUUUUCAUUAGACAUGUGAAAUAUUGGGGGAUUCUAUGGUCCAUUGUGAGUGACAGAGAUGUCCGCUUCACAGGCAGGUUCUGGGCUGAGCUAUUUAGGUUGAUGGGUACUGAUUUGAAUUUCUCCACCAGCUUUCAUCCACAAAUCGACAGCCAAACAAAACAGAUUAAUGCUCUUUUGGAAAUGUAUCUGGUGGUUUUAACUUCAGCCAUAAGGACAACCAACCCAAAACAAUUAAAAUAAACAAAAGAUCAGAAGAACAGUACUCGUGAACAGUACCCGAUGAACAAUACUCGUGAACAGUACCCGGUGAACAGAGCCCUAAAUCUCCAAAUGUUACCCUUUAUGAGUAACCCAAAUGAAGAGAUCCCUAAGUCUCCAAAUGUUACCCUUUAUUGGUAAUCCAAAUGAACAUAGCCCUGAGUGUCCAAAUGUAACCCAAAUGAACAAAGUCCUAAGUCUCCAAAAUUUAAAUCUCUAUGUGUGAGACUCUGAUACCAUGUAGAAGGAUAAUAUUUGUUGUAUUUCACAAUAGAGAUUACAACCUAUUUAUACAUGAGAGACAGUAUCUAAACAAGAAGGAAAAUCAAGCUUAUAAUUAUACGAUUCCUAAGAUAAAGCAACUGACCCAUCUAUCAAUAUUUACUUCCUAUAUUAACAUAUUUACUUCCUAUAACUUAUAACAUAGGGGAAAUUAUGUUUAAGAUUGAAAUCUAAAGAACAAACAGUUGAAGACAUGCAUUACGCCAAACAUAAAAUGACCAUACACAAGCGGAAAGCAUGCUUAC
rnacentral:lncRNA from 1 species